UACGUAGGGCGCAAGCGUUGUCCGGAAUUAUUGGGCGUAAAGAGCUCGUAGGCGGUCUGUUGCGUCCGCUGUGAAAACUCGGGGCUUAACCCCGAGCCUGCAGUGGAUACGGGCAGACUAGAGGUAGGUAGGGGAGAAUGGAAUUCCCGGUGUAGCGGUGAAAUGCGCAGAUAUCGGGAGGAACACCGAUGGCGAAGGCAGGUCGUCUGGGCCACUACUGACGCUGAGAAGCGAAAGCAUGGGGAGCGAACAGG
rnacentral:rRNA from 1 species